AGAGAGUAUUGACUUCUGUUCCAAGCAUAUGUCUUUCUUAGUGGGACUCCCCUUCUAGACCCUAGGGACCUUGAGCAACUAGUUUGUGUGCCAGCAGUUCUGUAUUUUUGGAUGAUGAAAAUUGAUUUUCCUCCUUUUAGCAGGUGCAGUCUCCGAGUGAGCCUCUCCCCUCAUGACCUGUGCAGAUUAUGCCAUCAAUAGUGGGAGAGGGGAUGAGGACGAACAUUUGGAGCCCUCAGCACACAGCUCCAAGGGGCCUGGUGAAGCCUUGCAGCAAUGAGGGUGCACUAGAAUAAAAGCGUCAAGACAAAGACCUGUGGCCUCGUCAAAGUUUGUUGAAGCCAAUGUUUCAGGUUGCCCCUCAAGUUCCAGGACGGGUAUCUUUUUAAGUAUCGACACCAAGAUUGGAGGCAGAAACGUGCAGGAAAAGCAUGGGAUUAAAAG